CGUCCUGUAGACCCACAUACACAAACGUGAGCCUCGGGGGAAAACACCUGAAUGCCACGAUGGGAUGUGAGCAAUAACAGUAAGGAUAACAAAAAUGCAAUUUGGGGAUUCGGAGGAUUUAGUGGCUGGAGAAUGGGCUGAGAUGCAUAAAAAGAAGCAUGGCUCUGUAUUGCAUCUCAGCACCGCUUUGUUGAAUAAUGAGGUUUGAAAGGCUGCGAGAGGCACUCACCGGAGCACUGAUGUUCAUUAAGAUAAAAUCAAAGACAGCCUCCUGCUUUCGGUUUUCCAGAAGGACUCCUUCCAUAGCAAGAUCUAGAAGAGCUCUGAUGCAAACUUUCCCGGCUUCAUACAGACGUGACCUGGUGCUGCAAGGAAUGGGUGGACAUCCCUGCAGCCACACAGUGCUACAGAGGGCUGUGCCCACAGACACCCAUCCCCACGGGUGCACGCAUGCAUUUUCAUACCCAGUAAUUCAGCGCAGUGUGUGUUUGAUGCAUCACUGUUAGACGGAGAUGCAAUCAGAGCAGAGCAGGACUGGUUUGCAGAGCACACAUCAAC
ensembl:lncRNA